rnacentral:rRNA from 1 species
UACGUAGGGUGCAAGCGUUAAUCGGAAUUACUGGGCGUAAAGCGUGCGCAGGCGGUUCUAUAAGACAGAUGUGAAAUCCCCGGGCUCAACCUGGGAACUGCAUUUGUGACUGUAGAGCUGGAGUGCGGCAGAGGGGGAUGGAAUUCCGCGCGUAGCAGUGAAAUGCGUAGAUAUGCGGAGGAACACCGAUGGCGAAGGCAAUCCCCUGGGCCUGCACUGACGCUCAUGCACGAAAGCGUGGGGAGCAAACAGG